ensembl:lncRNA
UCAUCCCUUUCAUUAAAAUGAGGGAGGUAAUUUAAGAUCAAACACAGAGCUGAAAUAGCCUCUCACUGUUACCAAGAAGACCAUAGGGUGCCGAACCUGCAUUGAGUUUUACUAAUUAGCUCACCUGCCGCAGCUCACCUGCCAGGUGGUUUUCUUAAUUAGUUAAUUGGUUGCAUCUGGUGCGUUUCACUUAAAAGGGAACCGGACAGUACAUUGGUUUGUGUACUGUUUUGUUGUGACUUAUUUAACGUCUCUUCCAGUUUCCCAGGUUAAAGACUUUUUGAAGUAAAGAGGAGCAUCUCAUCUGAACCUGAUGUCUAUCAUGGAUAUUUAACUGCAGUUCUGUGAGUAUCCCAACUUAACCAUGAAGCAUAACUGCAAACUGUAAGUCAUUAAUUUCUCAUUACUCUUGGGCACAUUGAUGUAUUUUGGCUUCCUGGUGUGUGUGAACCUGUUACCUGAAGGUUGAUUUGAGUAUUGAGGAUGUUUUAUUGGUUCAUGGUUUACUUAGGUGUUUGGUUUAUGUUGGUUUUAAUGAUUUGUUAAAAUGGUUACAGGCUCCAAGUUAUUGUUGUAAGCUGGAGUAAUGGGUUGGGUUCUGAUAUCUUCAGUCUUCUUUCAUUCUACUCUCCUGAGCUCUGCAUCUUCAUCACAUGAGUGUUGGUUUACUGGGGAGGGUGUGGUCUGAGUGAGCAGAGGUGCAUACUGGGAUACAGAGCUGUUUGAAGUCUACAGGUCUGUAGACACGCCCCCUCAGGGGAAACCGAGUCUUUGAGAAACUGUCGUGACGUCAGUUACAUGGACUGGAAUGUUCUUAAAGAUGGAGACAGGGAUUCAGAAGGAGAAACACCAGGGGGAGAUGAGGGGGGCUCCUCAUCUCAACGACUAAAACACAACUUCAGUCUGACACAGAACCAUGGAACACAUUCAACAGUCCCCUCCAGGCAUCGUGACGCCUCAGGAACAGUUUCAUUUCCAAGAAGGUCUUAUUUGGGGCCAUCCCCAUAUGGAUCCUGCUCCUCAAGAGCCACCCCCCUCCAUUGGGUGGUCUUCUGAACAGAUGACCUCCUUCCUGUCCUCAGGCUGACUAAAGCUGCACCGUUUGCAUCUGUGAAGGCCCCUCAUUCAGGAAACCACGCAUAAUCCAUCACCAAUGUGGGACGCCACUGAAGAAUAUUGUACAUGAUUUACGUCUCUGGAGACAUUGGUUGUUAUGUUAUGGGUGCCCUUGCAGGAGAGCUGGGGGGGGGAUGAUGGAAUGUUAUUUGGCAUGAGGUUUUUACCCUGCAUGAUUGUUUGGCCUUUUAUGGCUCAGUGGUGUGUGUUUGGGUUUGACAUGAGAUGGAAGAUUUUUGAGCAUCGAUAGGGUUCUACUGUGUGUGUGUGUGUGUGUGUGUGUGUGUCUCCCACUCACACCUGGCAUGGGGUUCUACGUGCCUGUCCUGGGCUCUAUGUGUGUGUGUCCGGCUUGCUUUGACAGUGAUAAUGUUCAUAUGGGGGUCUGUGUGAUUGGAAUGGUCAACUAAAUCAUACCUGAUGGACGGCCACACGUUUACUUAAGAGCCUCCAGUAGACAUGAAGAGCCCUGAGCGACGCUCCGGAGCGAUAUCCAACACACUGGGCAGGAAGGAGAGUAUCCAACUCAAGUGUAAAAGGAUGCAAGCGGCAUGUUCAGAUCCGUGACUUCAAACUAGGACUUCACCAUCAGGAUCAAUGGAGGAUGGACACCAAAAGGAAUUCCACAAGGAGAGUCUGACGUUGGAAAGGGACCUAAAUGGAUAUUCAAGAUGACCUGUAAUGAGACGGCUCUUCCUACCUGGCUGGAUUGAUGGAGAGCCCUGUGGAUCUUGUCUCGCUCUCAGUUGGACGUCUACUCAGGCUGAACUGUAUUUGUUUCGGACAGGACUAGCUGAACGAUUGGUUCCCUUAAAUCAGAACCAAUCCGGGAACUCCAGCUAGUGCGCUCUUCGAGCUGAAGUUGUGCUCUUCAGCUGAGGAGGUAAGGAAACCUUCACUGGGGCUUCAAGGUGUAAAGAGGAGUGUUUCAAAGUGUUCCAUGGUACUCUGAUGAAGACCGUUGUUGUGUUCCACUGGCUGAGAGGAAGAACCCACACAUCUUCCUCUUGGCCUUUCUCCUCCGAGAAUCCUGGCGCCAUCUUGAAGGAUAUACCAGCUCAUGUAACUGAUGUCACGACAGAUUCUCAAACACUUGGUUUCUCCUGAGGGGCGUGUCUAUGGAACUGAAGACUUCAGACAGCACUGUAUCCCAGCAUGCAUCUCUGCUCACUCAGACCACAUCCCCAUGGGUAGGAUGCAACACUCUAGUGAUGGACAUGCAGAGUUUUAUAAGUAACGAGGGAGCAGACUAAGGUGAUUAGAACACAAUGGAAUGUCAAGUCUGUAAAUCUUUAAACCAUGAAGAUGGUUAGAUAGUUCAGGAAUUGGGCUUAUUUUUAUUAUGGCAGUCCUUUCACUCAGAUGCUCACUGGAGCUGUACAUGUGUUGGCUGGCAUGAUUUGCUGUUGGUGAUGAGGCGGUCAGGGUGACGUUGAAGGGCUAUGGUUGGCUCUCUGUGAGCUCAACGUUUAGAUUUGCUCUGUAUGGUUUGUACCCUGAAUAAUCUAGAUAAUUGUAAAAUGUAGACACGGUUUUGUAUUGAAUGAUUUUAGGUUUAAAGUUGUUGUGGGACGUACAUGGUAGUUUGGUCCUUCGUAUGGUUUUGAAUGAUAUAACUUGUACACACUGGGUGCAUAAUAAUGUAAAGGUACACUGAAUAGUAGUAAUGUCCAACAGCAACAAACAGAUCUCCUCAAGGUAAGUCUGUUGGCUGUGUUUUAAUGAGGACCAUCGCUGGACUUCAGGAUCUUCCUCCGUUCAGCUCAAGGUGAGGCGCUGGUUCUGUUUUUUCUUUGGUUGGUUCCGGCCGGAAUGUUCGGAUUCCAGUCGGACGGUUUGUGCUUCCCGCCGUGGAAGGUUCUGAGUGCGGUCACUUGAUUUAGUCCCAAUGGUUAGCAUAGAACGUUGUAGUCUUAACAACCAUAAGAAACCACCUGGCAGUUAGUUGGACGGGCAUCUGGCGGAACGUUCUGGGUUGUAUUUGCGUAACCUCGAGCCGUUGCCAACGGAAACAAUUUUUUCAGUCGGUUCCCAUUGGGAAUUGUUGCCCCUAUCUUAAACAACUUAAGUUUUGAUGUUACUAAUACAUACUGACACGUACGUCUUACAAUAUGUUAAUUUCCGAUCGUUGCGCCGUACUUUUAACCACGAUGACGUGACGGGACUCUCGCUGCGUACAAAACAGCGUUCUACUUGCGGGCCCAUUUUUGACAUCAGGAAAGGCUGAAAAUCAUUUCAAGGUGGAAGAUAAUUUGACAUUUCUUCAACGGAACCCAGCACCUGAAUAUGGCUGAGUAUAUUUGAUUUAAUAUCGAUACUGCUUAGUGUUCUUUGUUACUUCAGCUUUUGUACGUUCUAAAUAUCUGCUGUCAUUAAUUGCCACAGAAGUUAAACCCUACCCAAUGGAAUGACGUUAAACAACGACUUUGGUGCAGAGUUACCAACUGGAUAAUAUCAAAGCUAAAAUGAUGGCCGUCAUUCCCACAUGUUACAGUAGAAGAUACUCUAGAACUGUACAAGGUUAAAAAGGUAACAUGUAGUUUGUCCCAAGGUGUCUGCCUCCUCACCCAGAGCAAGACCUCCACCUCCUCACCCAGAGCCAGGACUCCACCUCCUCACCCAGAGCCAGACCUCCACCUCCUGUCAGAAGUCCUCCAAAACAGCUGAAAGGCGAGGCUGAGAGGCUGGGGACCGGAGGCUUGUGGUGCCAGGGUGGACCGGAGACUGAGGCUGGAGACCAGGGGCCUGCAGCACCGGACCAGAGGACCGGGAAUCCAUGGCUGAAGGAGCUGAUGGAGGAGCCGUGCUGAUGGAGGAGCCGUGCUGAUGGAGGAGCCGUGCUGAUGGAGGAGCCGUGCUGAUGGAGGAGCCGUGCUGAUGGAGGAGCCGUGCUGAUGGAGGAGCCGUGCUGAAGGCCCUGCCUUGUGGAGGAGCUGGUGGAGGCCCUGCCUGGUGAAGGACGUCUGUCGUGGGGUUGAUGGAGCUUGACUCUGAAACCAGGACUCUGUCUGAGGAGAGCUGCUGGAGGAGGUGAGAUGCUGGAGGACGACUAGGAAUCGACCAACAAGGAUUCCUCAACGUGUUUCUGGAGCGGAGGCGAGCUGGUAGGGGAGCCGUGAAUCUGGAGGAUGACCAUCACUCUACCAACAAGGAUUACUUUAGGGCCAGACUCGCGCUGUUUGUUCCAGACCAGGACUCUGGCUGAGGAGAGCUGAUGGAGGAGCCAAGGCUCUGGAGGACGACAUCACUCCACCAACCAGGAUCCUUACCAGGAAUCUGGAGGACUGAUGGAGAAGGUGGAAGGCAAAUCCUGAGGACCACCAGGACUCUACCAUCAAGGAUUCCUCAUAAGUUUGCAUUAUCUGGACAUAGUGGACUAGACACACCUGAGCUGAACCCGCCCUGAUCCUGACAUCAUGCUGGUCCCGUCUCCUCAGUUCAUCUGAGCCUCGUCCUCCAGAAGACCUGCUGAGCUCAGCAGUCUGAGGCUGAUGGAUCAAUGACCUCCAGUGGGAGUGAUCUUCCUGACCCCACAUGUAACCGUGUGCUUCCACACGCCUUUCCCUCACGUCUGUCACUAACCUCACUACUUCACUACUCUCUACUGCUUCCUCUUUUCUUCCUUCUCUGUGGUUCGAACCUUUACACGGAAGGCGCGUCUUCCUGCCCUCAGAGGGUUCAGCGUUAGGGUUGAGAGUCAGGGUUUAGAGUCAGGGACAGAGCUGGUCAGGGAGGACUGCUUUUACGCAAACCUCUUCACUUGCUUUCGGAAUGGUGGUGACAUUUUGAAAAGUUUCAUUUGGGAAAAUGUUUUCCUCUGCUUUCCUUUACAAAAUUGUAAUAAACUUCUGUCAAGUGUUUUUGUGUGUAUAUAUUAAAAUCCCACAUUGACUUCUACAUGUUUGGUGCGGUUCAUUUAAUUGUCCUUUAACUUGGUUAAUGUCAAGCUAGACUCCUGCAAUACAUUUAAUAU